UGCCUGAACCAUAAGGCACAAGGAAUGAGCCCCUCAUCGUGAGAGUGCAUGUGACAGGAGCAAAGGAAGCGGCAGCUCAGGAAAGACAAGGUCACUGUUCUUGCUCCCAUGACAGUAGCACUUGUUAGAGCAACUGAGUGACGUGCAUAAUUCUCUCCAAAGUAAAAGUCCUUUUUGUUUUUUGCAAUUUUA
rnacentral:antisense_RNA from 1 species